GACGAACGCUGGCGGCGUGCUUAACACAUGCAAGUCGAACGGAAAGGCCCUGCUUUUGUGGGGUGCUCGAGUGGCGAACGGGUGAGUAACACGUGAGUAACCUGCCCUUGACUUUGGGAUAACUUCAGGAAACUGGGGCUAAUACCGGAUAGGAGCUCCUGCUGCAUGGUGGGGGUUGGAAAGUUUCGGCGGUUGGGGAUGGACUCGCGGCUUAUCAGCUUGUUGGUGGGGUAGUGGCUUACCAAGGCUUUGACGGGUAGCCGGCCUGAGAGGGUGACCGGCCACAUUGGGACUGAGAUACGGCCCAGACUCCUACGGGAGGCAGCAGUGGGGAAUAUUGCACAAUGGGCGGAAGCCUGAUGCAGCAACGCCGCGUGCGGGAUGACGGCCUUCGGGUUGUAAACCGCUUUCGCCUGUGACGAAGCGUGAGUGACGGUAAUGGGUAGGGAAGCACCGGCUAACUACGUG
rnacentral:rRNA from 1 species